GACGUAGGGCGCGAGCGUUGUCCGGAUUUAUUGGGCGUAAAGAGCUCGUAGGCGGCUUGUUGCGUCGACUGUGAAAACCCGCGGCUUAACCGCGGGCUUGCAGUUGAUACGGGCAGGCUAGAGUUCGGUAGGGGAGACUGGAAUUCCUGGUGUAGCGGUGAAAUGCGCAGAUAUCAGGAGGAACACCGGUGGCGAGGGCGGGUCUCUGGGCCGAUACUGACGCUGAGGAGCGAAAGCGUGGGGAGCAAACAGG
rnacentral:rRNA from 1 species